GACUCAGGGCCUGGCCACCCGCACACCGACAGUGGCCAGUUAUUGCCAUCACCGUGCCUGACCCAGAGGGUUUGGUUGCCCUUCUUUUCUGCUGCUUCCACAGAAAACAAAUUGAUUGUGGCUUAAUCAGAUGAGAUGGGAAUGACUGGCAGGUGGGGAGAAGAAAGGAAAGGCCGAGUGAGGAUGGCCAUCCAUCGAGGCCACUUCCCUGCUCUUUGCCAUUGAAGCCCAUGCUCCUGGAACCCCGUGUGUGUUCAGAAUGUGCAAGCAGAAGAAGAAGAGGGAGCGGAAAGCACUGGGCAUCAGGGCUUUCCAGGGGAAUGUCUUGACCUGGCUGGCAGUGGAAAUUCACACCUUCA
rnacentral:lncRNA from 1 species